CAAACAGUAUUAUUUUUAAAGCUUAUAUACUAGCAUCCAGGUUCAUUUAAGAGAAAAAUUAAAAAUUCUGCAAAAGCCAAGGCUUGAACCCAGGCUUCUCCAACACUCCCAAAUCACUUAGUCAUUAAAGCAAACAAGCAAUUUGUGCCAUAACAUGCAUAAAUUAAUAACUUAUAUUUUGGGGCGUUACAACUCUACCCCCUUAAUGAAAUUUUGGCCUCGAAAUUUACCUGGUCAGAAUAGAUG
rnacentral:lncRNA from 1 species